AGCAGUAUGGUGUAAUGAUGCACACGGGAUUUUCUUGAGGUUCGACUGGUACAUCUGUGUAAUUCUCGAGGUCCUUGUUCGAAUCAAGGUACUGCUU